UUUCUUUCUGGAGGUCCCUCCUUGGUGAAGUUUUCCCUUUGAACCUGGAAUCUUAUGAUAUGGGUGAGGUUCAAAUCACAGGACAAGAAGAGCAUGCUCCAAAAAUAAAAGCAGACUUUGGCUUAUGCUGUCCAGCGAAUUGCCAUAUGAAAGCAGGAGGAUUUCGGUCUUUUAUGAACUACUGCUCUUCAGGGACAGAGACCACUUGUGCAAGAGGGAGAGCAACUGCUUAUUGAUGUAAUUGUAGCAAAUGAAGACAGUAUAAAGGGGAGGUAACUGACAGCAUCUUUCUGAAAGAUAUGCAGAGACUCUCCGGCUUCAUUGGGGUUGUUUGUACAUGUUGCCAGAUACUUGUCCUAAGUGGUGUUUGUUUCCUUUCCAUAAAGAAGACACCAGCUCUGGUCGCUGAUAAAACAAAGCUUGGCAAAGUCCCAAGCACAAUAUCUUGUUCUGGGAAUGCACUCAACUUGAUCUUCUCAUUUACCUCACAGGCAUUCAUUCUUCAAAAGCCAAGGGCGUACAUCUUUGGGAGAUGAAGCUGCAAAAGAAUUUUGAAUAGAUUGAACCUGGGGAUACUUCUGGCUCAGUUAGUAUUAAUGGCAAGUUGGCUUUGGAAAAUGACAAACUCCGCAGUCUGGUGCUGGAAGAAUUAGAAGGGCUUGAAACGUGGGAAAAUAAUGGAGAAACAGCUUUGAAGUGGUUAUUCAUCUCCUUCAAAUACACCCACCGGACAACUGGGACAGAUACAAGCCGCAAAGGGAGGUACCUCCCAUGGUCAGCCCUGCAGCCCCGCAGAAGUUAGAAAGGAGUGGGGAGAAGAAAUGGUGGAGCUGGCAACAUCUUUGUGAUCUCUCAAGUGGAUCCACAGCCCAGGUGGAGCAUCCUGUUCUACUAAAGGUUGUAGAAACAUUUCUCUCCCACCUCUUUGUCUUUGGGCUGAGUCCAGAAAACUUCAGUGACAUCUGGGAAAAAAGUGAUGAAACUGUACCUGAACAAUAACAUUAAAACAUAGCUUGCUGGCAGCAUGGGCUGUGUUAUGUGAGGUCUGCCUGUUCCUGCUUUACCCAGAGAGCACCAGCAGCAAGCUGGACAUGUCCUCAGAUGGCUGCAGAAGUCAAGUUGUGAGAGCUGCACCGUGGCAGGUGAAUUGCAACGUGGAGAAGCAUGCUGGGUGUGAGGCCUCCUAACUGGACAUGCAGGUGUUUCAUUUCAUCUGCACCUGAAUUUGGAAGCAUUAGCGUUCCAGCCACUCACCCUUCAUUUCAAGGUUUCUGAACUGCUUUAAUGAAGAAUGAUUUGAUUUUAAAGAUGAAAGGUCAGACUGUGCCAUCAGUUUAAUUGGAUUUGGCUGUGGCCACUUUGACGUUCAUUUGUGAUAGGAAAAACAGAUUUAACGGAUUUCAAUCACUCUAAAACUCAUAAACAGAGGGAAAAUGUUUCCUACCAUUGGUCAAUGAAAACUGGUGAGGAUCAUGGCCUGAGGCACAGCUAUAAGGUAAACAACCCCAAAACCUAUCUCUUUGGGGGGAAAAAAAUAACAAAAGCGUAUCUGCUUUGUGAAACUCAAAACCUCACUGUUGAGGAAACUUUUAACUUUUCUUUUUGUUUCCAAAUGCCUACUGACGCAGCUAUAGGUAUCAAUUUCUUUGUACCCCAUAAAGUGGCGUUAGGUAUAAUUAGAGGAGUGUGGCCGUUAAGGGUUUUUUUCUCUCCUGGCACACUUCAAUGAGAGAACAGGCUCCCCCAAUUUCUAUUUCAUCCUUAAUUGCUUCUGAAAUUACUUUGAUGUGUGUACAACUUUAUCUGCUUAAUGUGACAUGGAAU
rnacentral:lncRNA from 1 species